UUGUGUUAUUAAAGGGAAGAAUAACAGGUAAUUGAGGAAAUAUCAAAAAUGCUCCUUUUUGUCUCAGCUGGCUGGAGGGGCGUGUCGGUGUCUGUGUUUGAUUGACAGCAGCUGGCAGGCUGCAUGAGCACCGGUAGGGGAACAGAGACAAAAUAAAUCAACUUGUGCUGCAGCUUACAAACCAUGGGCAGACAGUGUGUUGGUACCAGAGGUACUGAAGAGUAAGGACCACACCAGCGUCUAAACAGACAGCUCCAACAUCCCACAAACCCCUGCUCCUCUAAUAGGAAAUGCUACACACAGGCCCAAAGCUGAGUUUACGAUGAUGCUCUUCCUCAGGUUCAUGAAGUCCUCUCAAGACAAACUGGAUAAAAGUGAACAUGAGGAAGACCAUGCAUGAAUGCUGAAACUGUUACACAGGAUCCUUUGUCUUCAACAAAAACAGCACAUGGGGAAUUUGCACGGGCACUGAAUCCAGUCCACGCUUUUCCUAAUGUGGCGACAACUUUUUUUAGCCACCUGGAGGGCUUUUAUAGUCUAGAGUUAAAACCUACACAUGGUGUAAUGUGACUACUGUAAGGCCAACAAAAAUUAAUAACUAAAGAAUUUAGUGUUUACCUACCACAAUUGUAUUCCUGGCAGCGUGGAGAGGGAUUUAAAACGCCAUUUAUAAUUUCACGUUGUAAUUUGACAAUAAGCAACUAAAUAUAGUAUAAAAAAGGUUGCAUUGUUCGGACUUGGACUCAUGACCUUUAGUAUUUAUAAAAAUAUUGGCUACGAGUGGUGUGCAGACAAGUGGUGUUGUUGCUCUUAUAGCUGCAAACUAGUGCAGACGUUUAGGUGAUUUUCAGGUGACAUUGAAAGCAACGGUUUAAAUAUGUUUAAUGUGUUUAAUGGUGAAAAAUCCACCCCAUGUUGCAUUGAUAGCUUGGGCAACACAGAGUGUAAUGGCUUCUGUUAGGUUUCCACCAUGCAUUGGUUAAUUUAACCUCCAUUACACCCAUUGAAUUUGACCUAAUGCUGUAAAAUUAUGCUGUAAAUCACGGUACACCGUAAGAUGGACUGAUGCAAAUGGUGCUGCCUUUCCAAUUGAAAUGCUACUUGGUUUGGAUGUGUUUCAGUGAUACAUUUACUAGUUUAUCUUAGAAUUAAAUAACAAUGUCUCUGAUGUUAAAUCACAUAAAGGAACAUUAUCAAGUAACCUUUUAACAAGACAGCUUUAUUGGAUAGAUAAAAAUACAGUAGGAUAGAUUCACCUCAUGUGAAGCUCUGGUAAGUAACACACGUUAACGUUUUCCAUCACAAGACUUCCUCCUCUCCUGCCAUGUGCCUCAUCACGCCACUCUGUAGUCUAAUAUUUCAUCAGCCGUUUGACUCACUGUAAAACUGUAAAGCAGGCACGCUGACAAAUAGAUGUAAUCUCUGUGAAGCCCGUGAAAGACCUUUUUUAAACCCCACUUAAGUUAAAAAUCAGGUGCUGUUGCAGAAACUUUACCACACGUUUCAGAAUCAAAAGGUUUCACAUCUUCAAAAACAAAGAUAUCAAAGCUGCUCCAUCACCUCGGGCAACUAAACAGCUUCACGCUCCUGAAAUUGAUUUUUCUCACUGAACUCUGGGGAAAAUGAUGUGAGAUACACCUGACUAAAGUGAAAAGUCGAAAGGCUUGUGCAACAUCCUUGAUAAGAUUUUCAUUUACUGCUUUUAUUUAUUUUAGAUAUACAGUAUUACUUUGAUAGUCUGUGUUGCAGAGCAUUGCGUUUUGUUGUGCUGUCGUCUUGUUUUUGUGUUUUUGCAUCGCAUCAGGUUGCUUUGUGCUGCAAUACAAAUGCAUAAAACUGAGUAGGAAAUUUCAUUAAAGGAAAAAUAAUUACAGAAAGGGUGACAAUCACUGCAGAUGCACUUAAAAAUCUGAAAAAAUCUCAGCUUGGAUUUGGAGACUACACAUUUUUAUCAGCAAGCCUAGGUCACAGUCUGUGGGUGUGGAGUUGUGAAAUACAUGGAUAUUCAGGGAGGUUCUGAUGAAAUACCCUAUUGUGUUGCAUUAUGGGAAAUGUAGGAUUCAUUGUCUUUGGAGGGCUUGACUCACACUUGAGACUGAAAAUCUGAAUAUUUUAUGCUCUGCUGCUUCUAUUUUGACAAUUCUUUUUUUAAUCUGUCUCGUCUUUUUAUGGUAGUGCAAUACUAAAUCACUGCGUGCCCCUUUAAAUAUCUUUAUCUUUGUAAGCAUGUUUUUAUGGUGUACUCAUCUGGAUCAGUGAGUCAGUCAGUGUAGGAAUGACUUCGCAAGGAUAUAAAACAGGAAAUGCGUACUCAAACGGACUAGACUCUGCAUAAAAAUUAAACUGUUAGAAGAAAAACAAUAUCAUCAAUCCUAUUUAUCAGAAAAUAAAUGCUCAGAGGACAGUACCGUGUAUCUUUACUGAAUCUCUACCAGCCUUUAAAAUCACAGCCACAAAUGAGACAAAAAUGUUCCAGUAACAUUUGAAGAUUAGAUCUGGUUCAUUUCAUUUCCAGCAGGUAUAACUCACUUAUGACUUAAUUAUGACUCUUUUCCAUUAACAACAGCAAAGGAGGAAACAGUGUGAUGUGAGUUGUUAUAGAGCCACACAGUCCACAGAGGGAGGAGGUUGUGGUGGUUGGAUGGGCCAAAAAAGCUUUCCUCUCGAGAUGUGUGUUAAGAUAUAUCGAAAACUACUCUUUAGAUAAAAGUGUCUGUUUUUUCCACAAAAAAGUUUAAUUACCUAGUUAGAAAUUCAUAAAAUUAAAUCAGCUUCCAUUAAUAUGUAAUUAUUGUUCAUUUCAAACGUUUAACAAGAUGUUUCCUACUUCACUGAAAAGUCCAUUCUCAGUGUUUUUGCACUGGAGGCUUCAGGUUUCCAUUUCAUACUUGUCUAUGUUGCAUAUUGGCCCACAACUGGCUUUCAAACUAGUUGAGAUGUCACAAAAUCAUCUUGUACAUUCAAGCUCAGCUCCCCUGGAGCCAGUGUUUUUUUUUUUUUUUUUUUCCUGUAUAAAUUUAUAUUUUCCUGUAUAUUUAGGUUAAUAAUAAUUUGAUAAUUUGUGUCUAAUAAACACAAUGCUGUCUAUUCCUGCUAUGGCCAUCCAUGCGUUGGGCGCACUCAACGCAUGUUACGCACUUUGCAUUGUCUUUUGAGUGAACUCCUUCUGGCUAACAAGUGAAUGCUACGAUGAGUGCCACGCAAGUGAGAACAUUUCGUAAAACAGUAGUUUUAUUCAGUCUUAGUUUUAUAACGUAUAUGGGCAUGAAUGUAUGAAUUGAAAUGUAUUGAUAGUACAUUUUUGCACAUAAGCGGGUGCAUGCAUGUGUACAGUAUCCUCCCACAUCUCACCCCCGAAAAAUAGGGCUCCCCCUAAAGCCACAGUGUAAUUUGAAUACUGGUGAAGAUCAUAUAAUCCAAGUGAAGUAACAAUACGCAAAACACAUUUUUGAGUGGACAGGGACAUUAGCCAUAGCUGUGUGAGAUCAGAAAAUGGUUUUAUUAUUGCAACAGUGAUUUGUAAGUAUUUUGGAAGGCACUGACAAACAAUGUCAUCCUGCUGAUAGGGGCAUCAGAUCAGAAAAUGCUUAUGAAGGCCAAUUAAUGUAUUAACAUAUUUUGACGUUUAAUUUGGAGGACUUGUUGGUUUUUUAUAUCGCACCUAUAGUUUGUAGGACAAACUAAAUUAGAUUAGUCAUUCCUGCUACACGAGAUUCUGCAAUUCUUUUAAAAAGAGAAAAGGGAACUAAAUAGGAAAAGUUCCACCAAAGUGAAAAAAAAGCUGUGCCCUCUUAGAUACCUUGAUUUCUCAGAAAAGGAAACCAAGACAAUUCCAAAUAAGGAAUUGGUGUUUAUCAUGUUGUAAGUUGAUUCAUCAGAAUUCGGUUCAUGACUCAACUACAACCUGAGGUAACUGGGCUACUCGUGUAAUUGUGAGUGAAUCUUUUCUGAAGAAGUUCCCUGCUGCACAUUCUAUUUAGUAAGAAAAAAACUUUUUCACAAUUCUUCUUUUUUUUUAUGAUAAAAAAAAUGUCUCUUUUGCACAUCAUACUCAUCAGCUGAAUAAUCAUCAUCAUUUUUCUGCUCUGACUAAUUAAGUAGAGUUCAUGUUUGAUGCUACAGGCAGAUGAAAAGUUAAUAAAGACCAUUAACAAGGAUUACUGCAGGACAGUUUAAAAUUUGGGGGAGUUUGCACUAUUUAUGAGCUGGACACAGCUGAUAGUAGCUGCUACUGCAACUAGCUAAAAUGGAAACAUAUGUCAUAAAGCUGCAGCAAUAACCAUUCAAUGUAUUUGCAUUCUAUAAUUACCUCUCUAUAUAUUUUCAUGGUAGUGGCGGAGUCUGCCUUUCCCGCGUAGGAUUCAAAUUGCCUACUUAUGCAUGAGGGAUUCACAGGAAACAAUGUAUAUAUGUAUGUAUGUUUGUAAUUUUAUCUCAUUGAUAUGUCAGCAUCACUGUUUACUGUUCACUCUCCUAAUGCUGUAUUGUUCAGAGCUGUAUUAACUUAUUGCUAAUGCAAAACAAACAUUUCCUGCUGCUGCUACUUCACAUUAAAGGUUUUUAACUGGAAACAAGGAGUGGCUUCUGUUAAGCAGUCACAGGAAACAGUGUAUUUGUUACAGAGGUCGGCGCUAACUGCGACUGAUCAUCAAAAAUGCAUCUACAAAACAAGAAAUGGUCAUUUUGUCUCCCAAAAGUCUUAAGGAUCCCAAAUACUCUGUGGACUGACAAGACAAAAGUUGAACUUUUUGGAAGGUGUGUGUCCCAUUACAUCUGGUGUAAAAGUAACACAGCAUUUCAGAAAAAGAACAUCAUACCAACAGUAAAAUAUGGUGGUGGUAGUGUGAUGGUCUGGGGCUAUUUUGCUGCUUCAGGACCUGGAAGACUUGCUGUGAUAAAUGGAACCAUCAUUUCUGCUGUCUACCAAAAACUCCUGAAGGAGAAUGUCCGGCCAUCUGUUCGUGACCUCAAGCUGAAGCGAAUUUGGGUUCUGCAGCAGGACAAUGAUCCAAAACACACCAGCAAGUCCACCUCUGAAUGGCUGAAGAACAACAAAAUGAAGACUUUAGAUUGGCCUAGUCAAAGUCCUGACCUGAAUCCUAUUGAGAUGCUGUGGCAUGACCUUUAAAAAGGCAGUUCAUGCUCAAAACCCCCCCGAUGUGGUUGAAUUACAACAAUUCUGCAAAGAUGAAUGGGCCAAAAUUCCUCCACAGCGCUGUAAAAGACGCAUUGCAAGAUAUCGCAAAUGCUUGAUUGCAGUUGCUGCUAAGGGUGGCCUAACCAGUUAUUAGGAUUAGGGGGCAAUCACUUUUUCACACGGGGCCAUGUAGGUUCAUUUAAAAACUGCAUUUUGUGUUUACUUGUGUUAUCUUUGACUAAUAUUUAAAUUUGUUUGAUGAUCUGAAACAUUAAAGUGUGACAAACAUGCAAAAAAACAAGAAAUCAGGAAGGGGGCAAACACUUUUUCACACCCUGUAGAUAAAAAUAGUUUCAUGCAAUAUGUAUUUCAAGGUGUUCCUAUUUAGAGUCCCAAAUAUGGGAGGAAGGAAUUUACAUGUUUACAAAUAGCACCUGAGUUAUCAUUGCUUACUGACCGCUGCAUUACAACAAAUCGCGUCUCAAACGCCCGCGAAAAGCAAGUGUAAAACGUGCCAAUGUUUUGUCUGAGGGAGAGAAAUUGAAAAAUUGACAAAUGACAUGAAAUUUGGCGCCCCUGUACAAUGACCAUACAGUUACCAGUGACAAGGCCUGCAGUGUACAAGGAAAUUGGAAGAAAUAUCGGGGGGGGCAAUACAUUGUUUAAAUUGUGCAAUUUUUCAGUAACCAUAAGUACUGCUGUCCUUCCCUGCUAUUUACAGCCCAAUUAAGCAAAAUAAUGUUCAGAACAAUCAAAUGCUAAUGUUUUACUGUACCUACUGUACAGACAUGAUUGUGUAAUUUGUUUUGAUAUGGACACAGAGCCGUCUCACAGUCAGGGUAACCACAUCUAAAGGCCUCCUGGAGGGUCAUGGAAAAUAUGUGUCACUGAGGCAAACAAUGUAUAGUUGCACUAAUGUGAGGAGAGUCUCUUUGUCUCUCUGUAAGAGUUAUUCUCUCUCUUUUUCAAGAAAUAAAAUUUUAAAAAUGACAUGAUGAAAACUAAUCUAUCUUUCAGUUUUUCUUUCUCCAACUUCCUUCUCUACUAAAAAGAAUCAUUUGGGUCUUUCUAAAUGAGCCUGUGCCAGCAUGACAUAUGUGUGACUAAGCAUGAGUGCUUUUCUGAUUCAUUAAACACACAAGUCAUGGUAUGUCAUGCAACGAGUUCCAUAAUAGCAGUAGAUCAGGUGAUUUAUUAUUAUUAUUAGAUGAGGGAGCCUAAGACACAACUUUCCCUUGAAAAUAGAGCAAAAAUAAAAAGAGAAUAUAAAACAAAACCUGUGAUGUUCAGUUGUAGUCACUCAAGUUAGUUUCCCUGAUUUAAAAAAAUAAUAAUCAUUUUUACCCAUAGGUUUACUCAAAUCACUGCAGAGCAAACAUGCAGGCACAUAGUCACACACAUGCAGAGUUGAAUACACUUGACCUUGUCCUGACUCCUGGCCCAUCUAAAAUCUUCAGGUACUUUCCAUAAGGAUCCGUCCCCAUUUACUGGUAAUCACACCAUACUGUAAGGCCCGCCUUCGUUUCUCUUUGCACCAAUAAGGGAAUUCUUUGCCUCACAGGGUGAAGUUAAUCUGUGAUCUCUGCUGGGAGUGGAAGGUGGCGUAGUUGGUUCUUGAUGAAGUUCCUCCUCUGAGUUUCUUUCAGUUCUUUCUUAAGUUCUUUGAGGAAGAUCUGGCCCCGAACAUUUAGGCAAAACACUAUGUAAGUACAAAACUGAAAUUUCAUUCAUAACCAGCAGCAUUAAUAGAUAAGUCUGAGCCCAAAACUGUUCACCCAUGAAUGUACAUCCAUGCACAAAAACAAUGUCAUAUGCAAGAAAAACAACAGCAUCCCCCCUUGAUUUGUCCAACCAGGAGUCUUAAAUGCAAAAAUAUUCAAUUCAAUAUAAUUUAAGACUAGGGAAAGCAACAAAUUGUCACAUCUGAGAAGCUGGAAUCAUCAAAUGCAUUUUUUUAUCAAUUACAAAAAUAGUUUGAGUGUUUUUGUCAUCAGUGUAUAAAAUAUGAUACAUUGUUUUAAAUUAUACUGCCUAAUAUCUAAUAACACUCACAGGGGCCAUUUUUCUUCAAUAUUGCAUCUAUUGUGUAUUUAGUGUACUGUAUGACAUCUCUUACCAUGCAGUAUGAGAGUCUGAUAAUGCCAGUUAACUUUGUUUUUUACACUUUGUGCACCAAGGUAAUUUCCUGUCCCAUCUGAAAGUACCUGGCAGCUAAGCUACUUCUGAUUCCCAUUCAACCACUAGGGAAUACACCGCCUGCUCUAAAACUUGCAUAAACUUUAAUUACUUUCCUUGUAUCUCACCCAAAAGCCAUUUUAGGAAUUGUUCAAGGACCAAGACACCAUAAGUCCUUAAUCAAGCACCUAAACCCAAACUGGAUACUGGGAAUAGUGAACAGUGUACUGGUGAGAUUCUUGCAUUUGGUCCAUUUUUUUCCCAUCUGUACUGCAAUUCCCAGAUAUGUCUCAUACUCAGUGUGUGAUGCUGUGACACAAUGUUCCCGUAGAAUUUGUUCUCUUUUGUGGAAAUGUUCUUAGUUUUACUUUCUGUAGGCGGUGAACUUUCUGUGUAGCAGAGGAGUUUAGAACAGCAAAAGCUUUCAUAAUUUGACACACUGUAUGCUGUGUCUUCAAAUAGUAGCCUUUAAAUGUAGAUAUUAAAUAUAAUAUAUAAAUAAUUGUCUUCAAAUGUCCAAUAUCAAAUACCACUGAACUGACAAUGGCAUGAAUCAGUUCUGAGUCAGAAUGUAGAAAUACCAGGUUGGGGAAUUAAAGCAGCAGCAGGCAUAUUAGUUGCUCAAAAUGGUCAUCUGACAGUAAUUAUCAGACUAGUCAGACUGGUCUAUAUCCAUCCAUCCAUCCAUCCAUCUUCUUCCGCUUAUCCGGGGCCGGGUCGCGGGGGCAGCAGUCUAAGCAGGGACUCCCAG